rnacentral:rRNA from 1 species
CCUACGGGCGGCAGCAGUGAGGAAUAUUGGUCAAUGGGCGGAAGCCUGAACCAGCCAAGUAGCGUGCAGGAUGACGGCCCUACGGGUUGUAAACUGCUUUUAUACGGGAAUAACGCGCCUUACGUGUAGGGCUUUGCAUGUACCGUAUGAAUAAGGACCGGCUAAUUCCGUGCCAGCAGCCGCGGUAAUACGGAAGGUCCGGGCGUUAUCUGGAUUUAUUGGGUUUAAAGGGAGCGUAAGCCGCCUGUAAAGCGUGCUGUGAAAUGUCCGGGCUCAACCCGGGCCUUGCAGCGCGAACUGGCGUGCUCGAGUCCGCGGAAAGCAGGCGGAAUUCGUCGUGUAGCGGUGAAAUGCUUAGAUAUGACGAAGAACCCCGAUUGCGAAGGCAGCUUGCUGCAGCGGAACUGACGCUGAUGCUCGAAAGCGCGGGUAUCGAACAGGAUUAGAUACCCCUGUAGUC